GAUGAACGCUGGCGGCGUGCCUAAUACAUGCAAGUCGAGCGAACAGACGAGGAGCUUGCUCCUCUGACGUUAGCGGCGGACGGGUGAGUAACACGUGGAUAACCUACCUAUAAGACUGGGAUAACUUCGGGAAACCGGAGCUAAUACCGGAUAAUAUAUUGAACCGCAUGGUUCAAUAGUGAAAGACGGUUUUGCUGUCACUUAUAGAUGGAUCCGCGCCGCAUUAGCUAGUUGGUAAGGUAACGGCUUACCAAGGCGACGAUGCGUAGCCGACCUGGGAGGGGGACGGGCCCCCUUGGAACUGGGAAACGGCCCAGAUCCCAAGGGGGGGCAGCGGGAGGGAUUUUGCCGAAAGGGGGGAAAGCCUGAGGGAGAAACGCCGCGGGAGUGAAGAAGUUCUUCGGAUCGAAAAACUUUUUUUUAAGGAAAGAACAAAUGUGAAAGUAACUAUGCACGUUUUGACGGUACCAAAGAAAAAACCCCCGGCUAACUACGU
rnacentral:rRNA from 1 species